CCAGCAGCCGCGGUAAUACGUAGGCAGCAAGCGUUGUUCGGAGUUACUGGGCGUAAAGAGUGUGUAGGCGGUGCUCUAAGUCUGUUGUGAAAUCUCCCGGCUUAACUGGGAGGGAGCGCCGAAAACUGCGGGGCUUGAGAGUGGGAGAGGUAAGCGGAAUUCCUGGUGUAGCGGUGAAAUGCGUAGAUAUCAGGAGGAACACCGGCGGUGUAGACGGCUUACUGGACCACGACUGACGCUGAGGCACGAAAGCGUGGGGAGCGAACAGGAUUAGAUACCCUGGUA
rnacentral:rRNA from 1 species